rnacentral:rRNA from 1 species
GAUGAACGCUGGCGGCGUGCCUAACACAUGCAAGUCGAGCGAUUCUCUUCGGAGAAGAGCGGCGGACGGGUGAGUAACGCGUGGGUAACCUGCCCUGUACACACGGAUAACAUACCGAAAGGUAUGCUAAUACGAGAUAAUAUACUUUUAUCGCAUGGUAGAAGUAUCAAAGCUUUUGCGGUACAGGAUGGAGCCGCGUCUGAUUAGCUAGUUGGUAAGGUAACGGCUUGCCAAGGAGACGAUCAGUAGCCGACCUGAGAGGGUGAUCGGCCACAUCGGAACUGGGACACAGUCCGAACUACUACGGGAGGCAGCAGUGGGUAAUAUUGCACAAUGGACGAAAGCCUGAUGCAGCAACGCCGCGUUAGCGAUGAAGGCCUUCGGGUCGUAAAGCUCUGUCCUCAAGAAAGAUAAUGACGGUACUUGAGGAGGAAGCCCCGUCUAACUACGUGCCAGCCGCCGCAGUAA